rnacentral:lncRNA from 1 species
AUGGGACGGCACCUGCAGAGCCACAGCAGGGACCGGCUGCCCCGCACACGGCCUGACGCCCCCAUUUUCAGGGAAGAGCAGCAGCGAGGGCCCAGCCUCAGCCAGCCGCCCGGCCGCGGCCUCCCCCCGCGCACCCCGAGCUGCCCGCGGCCCGGCCCCGCGCUGCUGCCCCAGGGAGGCGGCACCCGGGGCUCGCCCCCAGCCCCGCUCCCCGGGCCAGGGCAGCGCGCCAAGCAGCGGGCCGGCAGACCGCAGGCCCCGGCCCGGCCGCCGCCCCCCGCCCGGGCUGCCGGAGAGCAGGCCCGCCGUCCUUGCCCCGGCGCCGCCGGGGCCCGGGUGCCGGCCGCCCCCCCGCCUCGCCCCGGUCGCCGUCCCGCUUUGUGCCGGUCGCGGCGGCAGCCCGAGCACUCACCGGGAGCGCGGCGCGGGGCCUGCGGGCAGAGCCCAGCUCAGCCCAGCCCACCCCGCCGCGGCGAAGCCGCCCGGCGCUCCGCAGCCACCGCUGGCAACAGCGAGUCACCCCCGGCCGCCGCUACCCGCCGACCAGGGAAACGUCACCACUCGCCCUCACCCCCCGGCCCCGGCUCGCUUCCGCUUCCGGGGCGCGCCCGCCCCCUGCCUCCGGAAGGCGGCGCCGGGAAACGCCGGCCCACGCCCAGCGGCGCCGCCAGAAACAGGCGCUGCGCAGCUCAGGGGCGGGUGGCGCAGCCGCAGGCGAGGAAGGGGCAGCGCCCCGCCACCGGCGUGCGCACCGAGCGGGGAGGCGGGGCCGGGCGCGGCGCCGGCAGCAGGCCCGGUGGCCCCGAGCAUGCGCGGAGAGAGGCGGCUGGUGGGCGGCCGGGCCGGGCACGGGCGGUGGCUCCGCCCCGCAUGCGCGCUGGGGGCGGGGCACUGGCGGGCGGGGCGGGCGGAAGGCGGUGGCGCCCCCCGGCGGCGGCGCGAUGGAGCUGGAGGCGGCGAGGCGCGCGGUGUUGGCUGCCGUGCGGGGCACGUGCGCUGCCGACCUGCCCCGCCUGCUGCACUGGAUGCGCAACACCAAUGACUUUGAUGAGCUUGUGGUGA